AGGCCUACCACAUGCAAGUCGAACGGAUCCUUCGGGAUUAGUGGCAGACGGGUGAGUAACGCGUGGGAAGCUACCUUGUGGUAGGGAACAACAGUUGGAAACGACUGCUAAUACCCUAUGAGCCCUAUGGGGGAAAGAUUUAUCGCCAUGAGAUGUGCCCGCGUUAGAUUAGCUAGUUGGUAAGGUAAUGGCUUACCAAGGCGACGAUCUAUAGCUGGUCUGAGAGGAUGAUCAGCCACACUGGGACUGAGACACGGCCCAGACUCCUACGGGAGGCAGCAGUGGGGAAUAUUGGACAAUGGGGGCAACCCUGAUCCAGCCAUGCCGCGUGAGUGAUGACGGCCUUAGGGUUGUAAAGCUCUUUCAGCAGUGAAGAUAAUGACAUUAACUGCAGAAGAAGCCCCGGCUAACUUCGUGCCAGCAGCCGCGGUAAUACGAAGGGGGCUAGCGUUGUUCGGAAUCACUGGGCGUAAAGCGUACGUAGGCGGACUGAUCAGUCAGGGGUGAAAUCCCGGGGCUCAACCCCGGAACUGCCUUUGAUACUGUCAGUCUUGAGAUCGAGAGAGGUGAGUGGAACUCCGAGUGUAGAGGUGAAAUUCGUAGAUAUUCGGAAGAACACCAGUGGCGAAGGCGGCUCACUGGCUCGAUACUGACGCUGAG
rnacentral:rRNA from 1 species